GAUGAACGCUAGCGACAGGCCUAACACAUGCAAGUCGAGGGGCAGCACAAGGAGCAAUCUGAGGUGGCGACCGGCGCACGGGUGAGUAACACGUAUGCAACCUACCUGUAAGAGGGGAAUAAACCCGUUGAAAAACGGACUAAUACCGCAUAACACUGUAGAACCGCAUGGUUUGACAGUUAAACAUUUAUGGCUUACAGAUGGGCAUGCGCAUGAUUAGCUAGUUGGUGAGGUAACGGCUCACCAAGGCAACGAUCAUUAGGGGUUCUGAGAGGAAGGUCCCCCACACUGGUACUGAGACACGGACCAGACUCCUACGGGAGGCAGCAGUGAGGAAUAUUGGUCAAUGGGCGAGAGCCUGAACCAGCCAAGUCGCGUGAAGGAUGAAGGUUUUAUGAAUUGUAAACUUCUUUUGCAGGGGAAUAAAGUGUCCGACGUGUCGGAUUUUGUAUGUACUCUGCGAAUAAGGAUCGGCUAACUCCGUG
rnacentral:rRNA from 1 species